rnacentral:rRNA from 1 species
CCUACGGGAGGCAGCAGUGAGGAAUAUUGGUCAAUGGCCGGAAGGCUGAACCAGCCAUGCCGCGUGAAGGUCAGUGCCCUAUGGGCGUUAAACUUCUUUUGUGCAGGAGCAAUAAUGGUCACGUGUGGCCAGACGAGAGUACCGUACGAAUAAGCAUCGGCUAACUCCGUGCCAGCAGCCGCGGUAAUACGGGGGAUGCAAGCGUUAUCCGGAUUUAUUGGGUUUAAAGGGUGCGUAGGCUGGGAGGUAAGUCAGCGGUGAAAUGCCCCCGCUCAACGGGGUGAAGUGCCAUUGAUACUGGCUUGCUUGAAUGCGGAUGUCGUGGGAGGAAUGUGUGGUGUAGCGGUGAAAUGCAUAGAUAUCACACAGAACACCGAUUGCGAAGGCAUCUCACGAAUCCGCGAUUGACGCUGAUGCACGAAAGCGUGGGUAUCAAACAGGAUUAGAUACCCUGGUAGUC